GUCAGGAUGGCCGAGCGGUCUAAGGCGCCAGACUCAAGCAACAGCUUGCGCUGCAUCAGCGUACCGAGUGUUCUGGUCUCCGUCUGGAGGCGUGGGUUCGAAUCCCACUUCUGACA
rfam:Oikopleura dioica, whole genome shotgun assembly, reference scaffold set, scaffold scaffold_4